UGGGGAAUAUUGCACAAUGGGCGCAAGCCUGAUGCAGCGACGCCGCGUGAGGGAUGGAGGCCUUCGGGUUGUAAACCUCUUUCGCCAGUGAAGCAGGCCAUCUUCUUUGUGGGGUGGUUGACGGUAGCUGGAUAAGAAGCGCCGGCUAACUACGUGCCAGCAGCCGCGGUAAUACGUAGGGCGCGAGCGUUGUCCGGAAUUAUUGGGCGUAAAGAGCUCGUAGGCGGCUGGUCGCGUCUGUCGUGAAAUCCCCUGGCUUAACUGGGGGCUUGCGGUGGGUACGGGCCGGCUUGAGUGCGGUAGGGUAGACUGGAAUUCCUGGUGUAGCGGUGGAAUGCGCAGAUAUCAGGAGGAACACCGGUGGCGAAGGCGGGUCUCUGGGCCGUUACUGACGCUGAGGAGCGAAAGCGUGGGGAGCGAACAGG
rnacentral:rRNA from 1 species